UUAUCUCCCCCAAGAGUUCACAUCGACGGGGAGGUUUGGCACCUCGAUGUCGGCUCAUCGCAUCCUGGGGCUGAAUAGGGUCCCAAGGGUUUGGCUGUUCGCCAAUUAAAGCGGUACGUGAGCUGGGUUUAGAACGUCGUGAGACAGUUCGGUCCCUAUCCUAUGUGGGCGCAGGAUAUUUGAGAGGAGCUGCCUUCAGUACGAGAGGACCAGGGUGGACAGACCUCUAGUGUGCCAGUUGUCCCGCCAGGGGCAUCGCUGGGUAGCCACGUCUGGAAAGGAUAACCGCUGAAAGCAUCUAAGCGGGAAGCCUCCCUCAAGAUUAGAUAUCCCUCCCUUCGGGGAAUAAGACCCCUCGUAGACUACGAGGUUGAUAGGUCGGGUGUGGAAGCGCAGUAAUGCGUGCAGCUAACCGAUACUAAUAGGUCGAAAGGCUUGACCCC
rnacentral:rRNA from 1 species